UGCAACAACACAAUGAAGUUGUGAUUGUACAUUUUUCUCAAAACUUACUGCAGUUGCAACAUAGACCCCUCCUGGGUCACCUACGUAGUUAGAAAUCUGCAUGUUCAUGAUUUUAAAUGUUGAUGAUUUUUCUUAAGGCUUGAAAGUUUUAUCUUGAUGUCUGUGUUUCUUUCAACAUGCCGUGGGACGGGUCAUCGCCAUCAACAACUUGACCAACAGCUGGAGCGUCAACGAGGCGGGAGCAAACAUCAAGCAUUUGCGGCACACAGUCUGCAACCUCUGGACUUAUGUGGCUAUUUUCAACUUUCCUCCACUUCUCACCAUGAAGGCUCUGAUGUGAAGCAGCAGAUCACAUCCCAACAGGAAACUAAAGUGUCUCAAGUCAAAGAGCUUCAAAAGAAACUAUAGCAGGAGAUCACUGAGCUGAACUAAUUACAUGUAUUGCUUUGUCAGACCAAAUGUUAUUGUUCAAAUCCAUUCUGAAGGAAACUAAUUGUAAUGUUUGUCAUCGCUAAGGACUUCAGUCAUUUCAAUUGUUAGGAUUAAUUGGAAUGUAUGAACCUGACCGUUGUGAAGUGCCUUGAGACAACAUGUGUUGUGAAUUGGCGCUAUAUCAAUAAAACUGAAUUGAAUUGAAUUAUCUGAAGUAUCAAGAAGUGGAUUUACUUGUGUAAAUUACCAUUAAAACUCAUGGUACAAACGCA